GUGCCUUUAGCUGGCAUUCAGGCUUUGGGUAACUAAUAGCACUGGUUAGUCAAGCCUACUGAAUACUUUGGGACUGGCAUGAUGUCUGGUAGGACCUAACCAUAAAAUUCUAGUAUACCGGGGGAAGCUAGGAGGCCACAUCCAGCCAAAAAUGGCUUCUCACCCUUCACUGCGAGAAGGCAAGGCAGUGCCCAUGGAGCCCAUUGAAACAGAGC